CCCAAGCAUAGUGCUGAGGUGCUGUUUAGUGUUCUGUGAGAAGACUAUGUCGUGCUUUAUGGAGAAAAUACAAGGCAGAUAAACUUUGCUGGUUAUCUGAGUUACAAUGCUGUUGGCUGUAAGUUCAAUGUUAUGCAUCAGAAUUAUGGUACAACCAGAAAAAGAAGGAAAUUUGCCAAUAUGUGCACAAAGCUGCUUCAGAAAGUACAGAAAGCAUUUAUAGUCUUGAAGCUAUGUAAGAGAUGAGAAAGCAGCUACAUU
rnacentral:lncRNA from 1 species